UGGAUGUUGGACCCUGAGACUCCUGUGGCCUUACCUGGUGCACAUAGGUCCAUUCGCCCAUGCACGUGCCCCAUGGUCACUACACGGGACCCUCUGAGGUGGCGACCGUCCUCCCCGCUGGUCAAUGUGGGGGGGUUUUUAGACUCUUCUGAUGAAGUGGCGUACAGCCACGAAACUAGUUAAGAUGUCGUGAUAUGACCUUCUACCCACUAUGCUUCUCCUCCUCCUGGGGACUACUAUACUGGCGAUUUGUUGGUCAUAUAUGUUAUGUUGAUGUUUCAAUCAUGUAUCCCCUUGGUGUCGUUAUCGACAUUUUUUUACAAUAAAAUUGUUCUUUAU